rnacentral:lncRNA from 1 species
AGGCAUAUGUGCUGUAGUUUAAUGCGCUUCUCACUUGUUCUUCCUCCCACCCACUCUUCAAUUUCUCUUCUCCUUUUGCUCUUCCUUUCUUGCUUCCUCUGUCCUCCUGCUUCUAACUCUACUCACUUCUCUUUCAAGCUCCCUGUUUUCUCUCUCCUCCCUUCUCAUGCUCUCAUGGUCACCUUCCUUUCAGAAUCCAAAUUCUCUGUGUCUGUUCCUGCUACCAUGGCCCUUGUUGCUCCUCCAUCUGCUCACAGGGACCAUGGCCAACCGGCAAUUUUAGAUGCUGGCUCUUAAGUUUCUAAAGAAAAUGAUUCAAUUCAACUCUUGGGUCUAGUCUUUCUACCAAGUUCCUCUAGGAAGAUGACACCAUGAUGAACAAUAGAAGAUGCUGUCAAAGAAAGAAGACAAAUUUGACCCAGCAGAGAGCACAUUUCAUAUGUGGGAUUAAUGUGCAGUAAUUAGCCUGUUUUGGUCUAGGAUGACUGAUAGUGAUUCCAUGGCCCAUUUUCCUGAUAUUAGGCAAAGGUUCUUGGGGCAAAAAUGUGAUUAGAAUAUGUUCAACUUGAUGACAUGUAUGUUAAAGCUAUCGGCACAUACCAACCAAUUUUAUUGCAUGACCUAUUGCUAGAAAACAUCAAAAGUGGAGGUCAAAUCAUUUGAAGAAUAGUUGUUUAGUGAGUUAGAAUGAAUGAAGUCUUUAGUGAAUGCUGGCAUCAAAUUCUGUCCUAGUUUGUUGCUUGUCAUGCCCUAUUCUCCAUCUGGGAUGCCCCAGGCACUCUUUUUGGGGACACUUGACCUACCAGUCAUAUUUCAGAAACUACUGAUUUGGUGCUUGCUGAUUGAGUUUAGACUCCAAGGAGUCCGAUUGCUGGAUUACAUACAGACUAAUGACCCAUCAGUCGCUAAAGGCAAAAGCUUAAAGUGCACUAGUGAAUUAAGCCAUAGCAUUGUCGGAAAGGAAGAAUUUAUUAUGUCAUUAAACUUGAUUCAGUAAGUUUUGCUUCUUUAGAUACACUUCACUGAGGGAAAUGUAAGAAAUUAAUUAGAAACGAGUGUUAUCGUUUUUCUUCCACUUUCCCAGGUAAAGGAUAUUCACGUGAAAUUAAGAGACAGAGUAUUUCAUUGGGAUGAAAAGAGAGCCAUUAAAAGGAAUAAUAAAUUGUGAAAACUGGGCAUGACUGCCCAGCCAGCCAUGUACUUGUAAGUUCAGAGACUGUGCGUCAGCUGGUAAACACAGAGGAAAACCAGGCUUGCCUAAUUUGAUGACACCCUGGGUGAAGUUUUCAGGACUUUGCAUACAAUCUCAGAGACUCAUUGAUAUAAAGAUGUCAGCAGUAAUCAUGGUUGAUGCUUAGAAUUAAAUGUGAAACUUAGAAUGGGCACAAAAUGGAGAUCACAAUGGAGGUUUUCUGCUUCAAAUUUAGGAAUUAUAAUGAUACACAGAAUAUUCUCUUAAUGUGAAGAUUACCAUAAGACAUAAAAAUGUAAGCCAUUUGUUGUUGAAUCUUUCUACACAUACCUCAUGGUUGCUUUAUAGCAAUAGAUAAAAUGUUUAUAAAUGGUAACGAGGAUAAUUGAGAAAAUUGUGGAGUGUUUGUACCUUUUGUAAUUUAUCAGAGUACUCUGACAAUCCUCUCAGGCAUUCUAAAAUGAAUCUCUGUUAUAGAGGUAAAUGGUAAAAAAAAAAAAAAAAGAAUACAUCAUAUCUAUAGUGUCAGUUCUAAUAAUGGAGGGACUUUUAGUAUUUAUAUUCUAGGGAACAAAAUAUACUUUCUGUUAGUAAUUAUGCAGUGGGAUUAAAGAACAGAUACUGGUCAUUGUUUUAACUGAAUACAUUCCAUAGCAUAUGACUUAUGUCAAAUAAAAGAAAAUGAACUACAAGGGAGGUCUGUGUCCAAGGGACUAUUUUAGUUUCAUUAGAAUUCUGUCCUAUCACAGGAUAUGCAAUAUUCUAUGCUCCAGAUGAACAUAGAAACAAUAAGCAAAGCAGAUUUUUUUUCUUUCAUUCACUCCUAAAAGGUGAUGGCUUUUUACAAUUUUACAAAGUAAGGAUUUUAAAGUCCAUCUGAUUUGGAAUUUUCUCUUUUUUUCCUUCUUUCCUGCCUCCCUCUCACCCCAUUUUCCUUUCUCCCUCCCACUCUCUUUCGUCCCCCCUCUUGCUUGCUCUCUCAUGAUGGAGUCACAAAGGUUAUUUUUAUUUUAUUAGUAAAAUUAUUUUAAUCUUGAACCAUUACUAAGAAUAACAGACCAAAACAUCUCCCCUUCUAGUUAUUCAAUAUUCUUAGUAAUGCAAAGAAUAUAUAUAAUAUUAGCUUUUCCUUAGGAUGUUCCCAAAUUUAAGGUAAGACAUACUUUGGGAGGAAAGAAAAGCUGAGGCGGAAAAUUUGUCUGCUCUUGGUAGAGCUCCAAUCUCCCCCAGAGAUACUCCUUCACCCUCUCCCCAACCCCCCGCCCUGUGCCAUAAUUCCAGGAUGAACAUCUGGCUUGAUUUCUGUGUCAACUACUUCUUUGCCAAGAAUAGAAGGUUAUAAAAAGAGGUUACAGACCAAAGUUACCAUGGCUGCCCACAGAGAUUUCCUAAAGAACCACUAGGGCCUACUAGGGAGUGUCAAAAAGGAAAACAGUUU